rnacentral:rRNA from 1 species
AUGAUAGUGGUCCUUUUAAAGAAACGCUGUUCUGCCUUCCCCUGGGUCUCUGAGCAGAAGCAAGCAGGAGGACAACGAGCAGCGCUCUUCUAUCAUGUACAAUCGCCAAGUCCUUGGGACUGGAUCUGGGUUUUUCUGGUUCCAGAAUUCCUUGGCAAAGAAUUCCCAAUGAUUGCUAGCCAGGAUAGCUCAGUGGAAUGUCAUAUCCUAUCCAAUAUCCAAAUAUAUGUUAAUAUGGUCGCUUGGGUUCCACGCUUAUGUUUUCUUAAUGAUUCAUGCCAUGCUACUGCCGGCUAUUAUCGUUGUUGUAUAUAUCCUUCAGCUUCUUUAGGUGGUAAAUCCAUAUGUGGAAAUGUAAGCAGACUGUUGCCGUAG